rnacentral:rRNA from 1 species
CAAUAGCGUAUAUUAAAGUUGUUGCAGUUAAAAAGCUCGUAGUUGGAUUUCGGGGUGGCCUGCCUGGUCCACCGCAAGGUGAGUACUGGUCAGCCGCCCUUCCUCUCGAAAGCCCCGACUGCUCUUCAUUGCAGUGGUCGGGUAGUUCGGGACGUUUACUUUGAAAAAAUUAGAGUGUUCAAGGCAGGCUCUCGCCUGAAUACAUUAGCAUGGAAUAAUGGAAGAGGACCUCGGUCCUAUUUUGUUGGUUUCUAGGGCCGAAGUAAUGAUUAAGAGGGACAGUUGGGGGCAUUUGUAUUUCGGCGCUAGAGGUGAAAUUCUUAGAUUGCCGAAAGACAAACUGCUGCGAAAGCGUCUGCCAAGGAUGUUUUCAUUGA